rnacentral:tRNA from 1 species
GGGGCCGUAGUUCAGCGGGAGAAUGCUGGCUCGGCAUGUCGGCGACGAGGGUUCGAAUCCCUCCGGCUCCA